rnacentral:sRNA from 1 species
UGUAAUAAACUAUGAUGUCGUUUAUGACAC